rnacentral:rRNA from 1 species
AUACGUAGGGAGCGAGCGUUGUCCGGAAUGAUUGGGCGUAAAGGGCGCGUAGGCGGCGCGGUAAGUCUGGAGUGAAAGUCCCGCUUUCAAGGUGGGAAUUGCUUUGGAUACUGCCGCGCUUGAGUGCAGGAGAGGUUAUCGGAAUUCCCGGUGUAGCGGUGAAAUGCGUAGAGAUCGGGAGGAACACCAGUGGCGAAGGCGGGUAACUGGACUGCAACUGACGCUGAGGCGCGAAAGUGUGGGGAGCAAACAGGAUUAGAUACCCUGGUAGUCCACACUGUAAACGAUGAAUGCUAGGUGUAAGAGGUAUCGACCCCUUUUGUGCCGGAGUCAACACAAUAAGCAUUCCGCCUGGGGAGUACGGCCGCAAGGUUGAAACUCAAAGGAAUUGACGGGG